GAUGAACGCUGGCGGCGUGCCUAAUACAUGCAAGUCGAGCGAACAGACGAGGAGCUUACUCCUCUGACGUUAGCGGCGGACGGGUGAGUAACACGUGGAUAACCUACCUAUAAGACUGGGAUAACUUCGGGAAACCGGAGCUAAUACCGGAUAACAUGUUGAACCGCAUGGUUCAACAGUGAAAGACGGUCUUGCUUUCACUUAUAGAUGGAUCCGCGUCGGAUUACCUAGUUGGUAAGGUAACGGCUUACCAAGGCAACGAUGCGUAGCCGACCUGAGAGGGUGAUCGGCCACACGGGAACUGAGACACGGUCCACACUCCUACGGGAGGCAGCAGUAGGGAAUCUUCCGCAAUGGGCGAAAGCCUGACGGAGCAACGCCGCGUGAGUGAAGAAGGUCUUCGGAUCGUAAAACUCUGUUAUUAGGGAAGAACAAAUGUGUAAGUAACUAUGCACGUCUUGACGGUACCUAAUCAGAAAGCCACGGCUAACUACGUG
rnacentral:rRNA from 1 species